UGGGGAAUAUUGCACAAUGGGCGCAAGCCUGAUGCAGCCAUGCCGCGUGUGUGAAGAAGGCCUUCGGGUUGUAAAGCACUUUCAGCGGGGAGGAAGGCGAUAAGGUUAAUAACCUUGUCGAUUGACGUUACCCGCAGAAGAAGCACCGGCUAACUCCGUGCCAGCAGCCGCGGUAAUACGGAGGGUGCAAGCGUUAAUCGGAAUUACUGGGCGUAAAGCGCACGCAGGCGGUCUGUCAAGUCGGAUGUGAAAGCCCCGGGCUCAACCUGGGAACUGCAUUCGAAACUGGCAGGCUAGAGUCUUGUAGAGGGGGGUAGAAUUCCAGGUGUAGCGGUGAAAUGCGUAGAGAUCUGGAGGAAUACCGGUGGCGAAGGCGGCCCCCUGGACAAAGACUGACGCUCAGGUGCGAAAGCGUGGGGAGCAAACAGG
rnacentral:rRNA from 1 species